rnacentral:lncRNA from 1 species
UGAAAACUCACCAUGUAAAUGAGUGAUCAGAAAUACAUACUAUUCUUGUAAAAUGGCUCAAAAUACCUGAUUACCUGUCAGUGUUAACAUCUUUUAAAAUAGUAGUCAUGGCCUACACAAGAUGCCUAGGUGUUUAUCUAUGUCAUGUGUGGAUAGCACCCAGAUAAAUCUCAGGAAAAAUGUAUAUGAAAUGGUCAGUGUGUUAGCGAUUAUUGAUAUGGAGUGUUCACCUGAAUGGUGAGCAUGAACAGAAGCAUGCUUGUGCCAACAAAGAAGAAAGAAGCUCACCUGGAUGUAGCUCAGCUGGCAAGUCCUGAAUAUGAAUAUCCAUGGAGCACUUAGCAAGAGUUAAAUUAGAUUUGGUUCCAAAACAAACCAUAUGCACCAAGGAUAGUGAGCAACUCCGUGCCAAGUACUUUGAUGUGAUUGAGAAGACUCAGAUUGGAAGGUCUGAGACUUAAUAAUAAUGCAUUUGCUCCCUACUGAAGUCUCUCUUACAUCUGUUGGGGGAAAAGCUGCCUCACGGCUCUUGCUUGAGAUGUUAAAGCAAAACUUCACCAGAUACAGCCAGUUUAUAGAAUCUUCAGAAAAAGAGUGGAAGAAGCUGUUUGUUUGA